CACUUGAACACUUGGAAAUUAAACCUGCAUUCAUCUUUGAUUUAAGUGAUGAUCUAAAUAAAGAGUUUCUUAAACCACCUAGGGAGUUGCCAACAAUGG